UCCUAAAAUGCUGGGAUUACAGGUUUGAGCCAUCAUGCCCGGCCUGUAAAAUUAAAGUUUUAAAUGCUCAUCAAAACCUCCUGAGACCUCAAAGUACCUUCAGUUAAAUGGAAUUUAACGUCCCCUCCACAUAGGUAUUCACAGGCAAAAGUAUACUGGCAGGGGCAUAUUAAGGAUAGAAGUUAGAGAUUCUUUUUCUAGGAAAUGUGUUGCGCGUGAAUCUGCUACACUGUCCAGGCAGAGUUGUUCAAGUUUAAACAUAAAAGUCUGCUGUGUAUGUUCUAGAAAUGAGACAAAAAUGAAAGAACUGGCAGAAGCUUAGGAAAGAUAUGGUGUUGGUAAUACAUACUGUCACAUAACCUAAAAAUGCUCAAGUUCUGAUAUUUGCCAUUUAUAGUCUAAGAUAUAAAUAAUACAUUAAAAGCCCCAAUCCUUUCUCAUAACAUUUUACUGAGUCAUUCUCUAGUGACUAGUCUCUGACCUGAGAUUUUUGUACUGAAUUGCAAGCACUGGUAUGCCAUCUUUUUUUUUUCUUUUUUAAGAGAAAGAUCUUACUAUGCUGCACAGGCUAGGCUGGAACCCCUGGGCUCAAGUAAGCAGUCCUCUCACCUCAGCCUCCUGAGUAGCUGGGACUACAAGUACAUGACACUGUGCCUGGCUUCAUAUACCAUCCUAACAAUGUAAUUUAUUUGUUUUUAAUCAGAGCCUCCGGGUGACAUAAAUAAAUAUAUUUUAAGUGAACUACAAGCCAAUUGGUCUUUUAAAACCUAAUGUUUUUAAAUAUGUGAGAAUACGGGCUUGAAUCAUUAGCAUAUGACUACAUAUCAUAAAUAGGAAUUUUCCUACUUUUUAAUACCUAAGGCAGCUUGUUCACCAAAAUCUAAAACUCCUAAUAGUGUUUAGAGAGGAAACCCUAAAGCAUGUGAGUAAGUUUUACUAUAUUUCAGUUACAUGUGUUGAUCUGUAGCUUUCUUCAGAAUACCCCAAACAGUCCUUAAAAGCAUCAGUAUUCUCAGAGGAUAUUUUUUGCAAGGCGUAUUCUAGUUUGAAAGAUAAUGCCUUAAUCCAUUUUCUGGAUUAUAACCCAUUAGGUUACAUAAAUGUGUUUCUAAUAUCUUAUCACAGACAAUAUAAACUCACAUGGCCUGAAUCGCAAGUAACAUGUGAUAAAGGACCAAGGAAAGUAAAUGUUAAUAUUUAAGCUUUCCACUUACUUGAUCCAAUAUUAGCAAUGCAAAGUUUCAUGAUUCUCUUUAACACAACAGUUAUAAAAUAGUCAAAGAUCAACAUUUUUAUAUGUUUUAUUAAGCCUUCUUUGAAAAUUUGAAAUUUGCAUUUUUACUUUUCUCAUAAAUGAAAUACACAAUUUAUGUAAGUAUUCAAUAAUAAUGUUUCAGUCAUGAUCAAGGUAAAACAUAAAAUCAGGAUUUUUGAUUGGAUUCAAAUCAAUAAGCAAAAGCUGUUUCCAUACAUGAAUUGUAGCUAUAUGUAAGUGAGAAUUCUCUUAGUUAUAAAACAUGGCAUUUGGAGUUUUCUUAAAUACUUCUUAAUUAUAUUCUUGACUGUGUAUUUUCUUAAAUAUUUUUAAAGGUAUACAAUGGAUGUUAGGAAUAAGAUGGAAUACUCUCAAUUAUGUCAACUGUAUAGAGGGUUUUAAACUUUUUCUAUAAGUUAUACUCUAUAACCAAUAGCAACUGAGUUGAUUGAAAUCCUGAUAUUGGAACUUAAGUGUUCCAUAUACCUUAGGACAUGUAUAAUGGAAAUGUUGUGUUCUCAUUGGGUCUAGUGGAGAGCUGUAUUUCUCAGGAAUUAUUAAGUAUGCUAUGGGUUUAAAGCAGUUAAUUUUUUAAAAAUCUUCAGAUACACUUUGGGUGUUGCUUCACUGUGGUGUUUAUUUUGACAGCAACUCCACAGCUACCUCAACCCAAAGGAAGAGUCUAGUCCCAGGAUGGCAGAUGAGGCUGCAUUCUGCAAGUCACAGCCCAGGAAAUUGUAAAUUUGCUUGUAUUGAACAAUGGGGGCGUGACAGAGAACCCUUCUAACCUAGAAGAAAUCAGUCUUUCCAAAUGAAAAACUGCAGGGCAGACUUGUUUCGUUUUGUUUUCUAUGAUAUGUAAACUGUUUUUAGGUGAUGAAUUAGGAAGAUAAACCAAUUUCAACUAACAAAAAUGUCUGUUUUCCAAGCAUCUUUUUAUAAACAGUGUUUCAUGUUUAUAAUUAGUAAAUGUAUUUAUUUUAAUGAUUCAAGUUUAGCAUUACAGAAAUUUUGGCAAAAACAAAAAAGAAACAUCAUCUGUAAUUUCUUCACCCUAAUGCAGCUUUAGCAAUUUUCAUGUAUUCCCUCUCAGCAUCAAUGUGCAUAUUAAUGAUCUAAUAAUUUUUAUUAUUGUGAGCAGUUAUCCAUUGGUACUGCCCUACUUUAAAUACUUUUAUUUUCGUUGGCUAGAAAACAAUCUGUGGAAGGAAUAGUCCCCCAUUGACUAUUACUGCUUUUGAUUUUUUACAGUCACAUGUGUUACUUUAAUGGAUGUCUUUAAGUAUAAGACUUUUUCCGUAUCUUACAACAUUUCGUUAAGUUGGUGCCUCAGAAGUGGGAUUAUGGAGUCAACAAUUUUGAACUUUUUCAUGACAAUUGAUAAAUAUUGCUAAAUUACUUUCCUAGAGUUAUGCCAAUAUACUAAUAUACUAUAACUGUUUUGUUCAUUGUGGUAAGAAUGCUUAACAUGAGAUCUGCUCUCUUAAAUAUUAAAGUGUAUGAUACAGGAUCAUUAACCAUAAGCACAGUCUUGUACAUCCUAUCUCUAGAACUUAUUCACCUGCAUAACUGAAACUUUAUACCCAUUGAAUAGCAACUCCGCAUUUCCUCCUCCCCGUGGCCUAUAGCAACCACCAUUUUAUUCUCUGCUUCAGUGAGUUUGACUGUUUUGGAUACAUCGUAAGUGAAAUAAUGCAGUGUUUGUCCUUCUGUGACUGGCUUAUUUCACAUAGCAUAAUGUCCUACAGAGAUAUCCAUAUGGCAGGAUUUCCUUCUUUUUUAGAAAAAGACUAAAUAAUAUUCCCUUGUACGUACAUACCACCUUUAUCUAUUCAUUUGUAGAUUAAGCAUUAAUUUGUUUCCAUAUCUUGGCUGGUGUAAAUAAUAUUGCAGUAAGUAUGUGAGUGUACAUACCUCUUUGAGGUUCUGAUUACAGUUCUUUUAGAUAAAUACCCAGAGGUGGGAUUGCUGAAUCAUAUGAUAUUUCUAUUUUUAAUUUUUUGAGGAACCUUUAUACUGUUUUCCAUAGUGGCUGCACCAUUUUACAUUCUCAGUAACAGUGUACAAGGGUACCAGUUCCUCCACAUCCUCACCAACACCGGCUAUCUUUUGUGGGGUUUUUUUUUUUUCUUCUUUUGAUAAUAGCUAUCCUAACAGGUGUGAUAAUAGCUAUCCUAACAGCUCAUGAGGGUUUUAAUUUGCAUUUUCCUGAUGAUUCUUAGUAUUGAGCAUCUUUUCACAUACCUGUUGGCAAUUUGUAUGCUGUCAUUGGAGAAACGUCUAUUCAGUUUCUUUGCCCACUUCUAAAUUGGAUUAUUUGGUCUUAUUGUUGUUGAGUUGUAAGAAUUCCUUGUAUUUUAGAUACUAACCCCUCAUCAGAUAAUAUGGUUUGCAAUUAUUUUCUCCCCAUUUUGUAGGUUGCCUUUUCACUCUGUUGAUUUCUUUGCUAUGCAGAAGCCUUAUAGUUUAUGUCCUACUGGUCUAGUUUUGCUUUUACUGCAUGUGUUUUUGAUGUCGUGUUCAAGAAAUCAUUGCCAAGACCACUGUCAUGAACCUUUGCCCUAUGUUUUGUUUUGUUUUGUUUUGUUUUAAGAAGUUUUACACUUUCAGGCUUCACAUUUAGGUGUUUAAUCCAUUUUGAGCUGAUUUUUGUGUAUAGGUCUAAUUUCUUUCUUAAUCAUGUGGAUAUCUCAUUUUCCCAGCAUUAUUUGUUAAACAGACUGUCCUUUUCCCAUUGUGUAUUUUUGGCACUCUUGUUAAAAAUCAGUUGACCCUAUAUUUGUGGGCUUAUUUUUGGGCUCUCUGUUCUGUUCUCUUUGUCUAUAUGUCUUUAUUCCAUUACUGUACUGUUGGAAUUACUAUAGCUUUGUAAUCUAUUUUGAAAUAGAAAAGUGUGAUGCCUACAAUUUUGUUCCUUCUCCUGAUCAUUUGACUCUUCAAAGUCUUCAGGGUUUCAUACGAAUUAUAGGACUGUGUUUCUAUUUCUGUAAAAAAUGCCAUUGGGAUUUUGAUAUGGAUUGCAUUGAAUGUGUAGAUUCCUUUGGGUAGUGUCGACAUGUUAACUAUAUUAAGUUUUCCAGUCCAUAACCAUAGGAUAUCUUUUCAUUUAUUUGUGUCUUUUAAAAUUUCUUUUAUCAAUGUUUUAUGAUUUUUCAGUAUACAAGUCUUUCAUUACCUUACUAAGUUUAUUCCUAAAUAAAUUUUGAUGCCAUUAUAGAUGAGAUUGUUUUCUUAAUUUCCCUUUGGGACAGUUUGUUGUUAGUAUGUAGAAAUGCAGCUGGUUUUUGUAUGUUGAUUUGGUAUCUUUUAAUUUUACUGAAUUCCUUUAUUAGUCCUAACAGCUUUUCUGUGGAUUCUUAAAGUUUUUUACAUAUAAGAUCAUGUCAUCUACAAAGACAGUUUUACUUCUUCCUUUUUGGUGCUUCUUUUUUUUUUUUUUUUUUUCUUGCCUAAUUGAUCUGGUAAGGACUUCUAGCUCUGUGUCGAAUAGAAGUGGUGAGAGUGGGCAUCCUUGCCUUUUUCCUUAUCUCAACACUGUUAGUUUUUCAUUACAGGGUUGAUGUCAGCUAUGAGGUUUCAUAUAUGCCUUUAUUGUCUUAAGGAAAUUUUCUUCUAUUCCAAGUUCAUGGAGAGCUUUUGUCAUGAAAGGAUAUCAAAUUUUGUCAAAUUUUUUUUUCUGUAGCUGUUGAAAUGGUCAUGUGAUUUUUUUUUUUAAAUCUGUCAUUCUGCUACUGUGGUAUGUCACAUCUAUAAACUUGUGUAUGUUGAACCAUUCUUGGAUCCCUGGAAUAAAUCUCAUUUGUUCCCUUAAUAUACUGUUGAAUUCAGGUAGCUAGUAUUUUGUUGAGUAUUUUUGCAUCUGUCUUCAUCAGGGUUAUUGGCCUAUAGUUUGCUUUUUUGUUGUGUCCUUG